rnacentral:rRNA from 1 species
CGCCUGGGGAGUACGGGUGAGGUAACGGCUCACCAAGGCGACGACGGGUAGCCGGCCUGAGAGGAUGAUCAGCCACACUGGGACUGAGACACGGCCCAGACUCCUACGGGAGGCAGCAGUAGGGAAUAUUGCACAAUGGGCGAAAGCCUGAUGCAGCAACGCCGCGUGCGGGAAGAAGGCCCUAGGGUUGUAAACCGCUUUCAGCAGGGAAGAAAAUGACGGUACCUGCAGAAGAAGGUGCGGCCAACUACGUGCCAGCAGCCGCGGUGACACGUAGGCACCAAGCGUUGUCCGGAUUUAUUGGGCGUAAAGAGCUCGUAGGCGGUUCAGUAAGUCGGGUGUGAAAACUCUGGGCUCAACCCAGAGACGCCACUCGAUACUGCUGUGACCCGAGUGCGGUAGGGGAGCGGGGAAUUCCUAGUGUAGCGGUGAAAUGCGCAGAUAUUAGGAGGAACACCAGUGGCGAAGGCGCCGCUCUGGGCCGUAACUGACGCUGAGGAGCGAAAGCGUGGGUAGCAAACAGGAUUAGAUACCCUGGUAGUCCACGCCGUAAACGUUGGGCACUAGGUGUGGGUCUCAACCAACGAGAUCCGCGCCGUCGCUAACGCAUUAAGUGCCCCGCCUGGGGAGUACGG